rnacentral:rRNA from 2 species
GGUUCAUGACUGGGGUGAAGUCGUAACAAGGUAGCCCUAGGGGAACCUGGGGCUGGAUCACCUCCUUA